rfam:Oryza nivara chromosome 5, whole genome shotgun sequence.
AAAAAAACAAACAGUGAAUUUCCGUGUCCAACAUUUAACUGUCUGUCUUAUAUGAAUUUUUUUAUAAUUAGUAUUUUUAUUGUUGUUAGAUGAUAAAACAUGAUUAAUACUUUAUGAGUGAUUCAUCUUUUUUAGUUUUUUCAUAGUUUUUUUAAAUAAGAUGGACGGUCAAACGUUGGAUACGGAAACUCAGGGUUUGUCUUUUU